GUAGCCGGCACUGAGGUGACCACCAAAAAAAUCUGCUGGGCUUUAUCUUCUCUUCAUCCUCCACCAUCUUCUACCUUAUCCCUUUCCUUCUCCCAUCUCUUAUCUCCCUUCCUCCCUUCUCUUCUCGGCGAGCGGGCGGCGCAGGCGCUGGUGCAGCGCCCCCCAGGCGGCCGCGGCGUCGGAGGCACGGGAAGGCAGGGCGAGCUCUGCAACUGAAAAGCCUGCAGCUACUGCAACGAGGGGCAGCCGAGCCAGGCAUGGGCAGGUCGUCGAAGCUCUGAAGUCAGGGGUGGUGUCAGCAGGCAUGGAGCAUGGGGUAACAGAUUCCAGAUGGCGACGAGAUGAGAAACACAUCAAUCCUUUGAUUGAAUGCUUCGUGCGAGCGCGGCGCCCCCAGCCAGUGGUGGAGGCUCUGGCGUGCUCUUCAAUGUUUUUCUGUUUUCAGAUAGUUGAAUGUUGGAUCUAUCUCUGUUGAAUCUCUCAUGUUGUAUUUCUGUUGAAUCUCUCCUAUAAUUUUGGGUCUUUGUAAUUUUGGUUUGAAUGUUGUAAACUUGUAAUCUAAGUGAAACUUUUAUGGCUCCUCGCCUAUUUCUUUCUUCUCUCAGUUUUGUUCCCACCGCUUCUUGCUUAUCUUUCUUCUCUUAUCUGAAAGAACAGAGGAGGAAGACGAAGCAGCAGGUGUGGAAAGAAAAAUGAGAGUAAAGAGAAAGAGGUGAGGAACAGGAGAAGCAACCUAAUUUUUUUUGGA